GAGGAAACUUCAGGAAUUGACGGAAGGGCACCACCAGGAGUGGAGCCUGCGGCUUAAUUUGACUCAACACGGGGAAACUCACCAGGUCCAGACACAAUAAGGAUUGACAGAUUGAGAGCUCUUUCUUGAUUUUGUGGGUGGUGGUGCAUGGCCGUUCUUAGUUGGUGGAGUGAUUUGUCUGCUUAAUUGCGAUAACGAACGAGACCUUAGCCCUUAAAUAGAGUUGCUGGCAUUUGCUGGUAAAUCUUCUUAUGGGGACUAUCGAUUUCAAGUCGAUGGAAGUUUGAGGCAAUAACAGGUCUGUGAUGCCCUUAGACGUUCUGGGCCGCACGCGCGCUACACUGACGGAGCCAGCGAGCUUUUCCUUAGCCGAGAGGUUUGGGUAAUCUUGUGAAACUCCGUCGUGCUGGGGAUAGAGCAUUGUAAUUAUUGCUCUUCAACGAGGAAUUCCUAGUAAGCGCAAGUCAUCAGCUUGCGUUGAUUACGUCCCUGCCCUUUGUACACACCGCCCGUCGCUAGUACCGAUUGAAUGGCUUAGGUGAGGCUUCAGGAUUUGCUUAGAUCGAGGGGCAACUCUCUUUCAGAGCGGAGAAUCUAGUCAAACUUGGUCAUUUAGAGGAACUAAAAGUCGUAACAAGGUUUCCGUAGGUGAACCUGCGGAAGGAUCAUUA
rnacentral:ncRNA from 1 species